CCUACGGGUGGCAGCAGUGAGGAAUAUUGGUCAAUGGCCGUAAGGCUGAACCAGCCAAGUCGCGAGAAGGAAGAAGGUUCUAUGGUUUGUAAACUUCUUUUAUGGGGGAAUAAAGGUAUGCACGUAUGGAUAUUUGCAUGUACCCUAUGAAUAAGCAUAGGCUAACUCCGUGCCAGCAGCCGCGGUAAUACGGAGGAUGCGAGCGUUAUCCGGGUUUAUUGGGGUUAAAGGGUGCGUAGGUGGUUUUGUAAGUCAGCGGUGAAAGUUUUUGGCGCCACCAUAAACUUGACGUUGAAACUGGUAGACUGGAGUGUGUUUGAGGUAGGCGGAAUUCGUGGUGUAGCGGUGAAAUGCAUAGAUAUCACGCAGAACUCCGAUUGCGAAGGCAGCUUACUAAGCCAUAACUGACACUGAAGCACGAAAGCGUGGGGAUCAAACAGGAUUAGAUACCCCUGUAGUC
rnacentral:rRNA from 1 species